GACUACCCGCUGAAUUUAAGCAUAUCAAUAAGCGGAGGAAAAGAAACUAACCAGGAUUCCCCCAGUAACUGCGAGUGAAGAGGGAGAAGCCCAGCACCGAAGCCUGCGGCGGUAGUGCUGUUAGGCAAUGUGGUGUUUGGGUCGGCUCGCGGGACUGCUGCUCCAUUCUAAGUCCAGCUUUGAGUAUGGCUUCUGGACUUGGCCCGUAGAGGGUGAGAGGCCCGUUCGAAUGGAGGAGAAGAGAAGGAAGCAGUUCACCAUGCCGACUCUCGAGUCGGGUUGUUUGAGAAUGCAGCCCAAAGUGGGUGGUAGACUCCAUCCAAGGCUAAAUACAAGCACGAGUCCGAUAGCGAACAAGUACCGUGAGGGAAAGUUGAAAAGUACUUUGAAGAGAGAGUAAAGAGUACGUGAAACCGCAUAGAGGUAAACGGGUGGCGUCAAGCUGCACGCCUAGAGGAUUCAGUCGGCCAGGAUGUUGUGUAUGCGCCUGGCGCAUCUAUCAGUCAGGGUGAGAUAGUAGAGUGGUUCGUUGGGUGACAACGAGCCCGGCCGAAACACGGCUGGGUUGGCGUACCGUGUUGUGUGCGGAGCUUGCCACUUGUCUGAGGACUGUCUGGCCGAUGCACUACUUCCUCUGCGGCGAACACCACGACCGGUGGUACUGUCGGUCUGCUGCGGUAAAGUCGGGUUCAGCCGACAUUCCUGUUGGCCGUACUUGAUCAUAGGCAGGCGGUGUUUGGGUGCGUGAUUUACGUGCCUCUGCACCGGUUUGUCAUCAACGGGUCUGUUUGCCGACGAUUGUAGUAGUUGGCGGAUGGCCUGGUGCACCGUGGUGGUAGACAAAGCUGUGCAGGGCACCGGAGGUUACGGUCUCUAGUUUGGCUCGUGCGCGCACACUGCAAGUGCGUGGAUGCAUGCGUGUGCGUCGUCGCAGUCUGCCUGUAAUUGGGUUUGAUUGUCGUGUAGCCUGCAAAAGUAGGCCCGGCAGUAGCCUGAUUUUGGAUGGUAUUGCGAGCGGCGUCUGCUGCCUGUGCGAGCUGAUGAGGGCCUAAUAGUCAGUGGUGCAGUGGUAGACGAGCUACCCGACCCGUCUUGAAACACGGACCAAGGAGUUCAACAUGUGCGCAAGUCACUGGGUCCUACGAAACCUAAGGGCGAAAUUAACGUGAAGCCUCGGCUUGUCCGAAGUGUGUGGUGAGAUCCUGCUGUUACUCGCAUGAGCACUUGUGCUUCUGGCACCAGGCUAAGAGCAGUGGGCGCAUCACCGGCCCGUCGCAUGAUGUCACUGUUGGUGAUUGGCUCACUAUCGGUAGCAGUCACCAGCGUGUCUUGGGGGCGGAGCAGGAGCGCACACGUUGAGACCCGAAAGA
rnacentral:rRNA from 1 species